UCUCUCAAAACUUGUAGUUCGUUGAAGGAUUUUUUUUUUUUGCGCCCUAAAAUCAUUCCGAAACGAAUCCUUUAGCUCCCUCCGUCGAUGGUCGUCGGCAGCCCUAGCUCCAUUUCCUCUUGAAGUCGAUGGUAGCCAGCAACAAGAAAACUCCGUCCCCUCCCUCCGUCGAUGAUCGACAACACCUCCAGCUCUGUCCCCUCCCGAAAUCGACGACAGCAGCUCUUGCUCGGUGGACGAGAAGAGUGAUAUUUACAUAUCGGAGUUGUUCUUCUAGAACUGGUUACCAGAAGAAAGUCUAUUGGUUAAUUAGGAGAUGAAGUGGAUAUUGUGCAAUGGGUUAAGAAGAUCACAUGCUCUGA